rnacentral:rRNA from 1 species
GGCCCUAUGGGGCGCACCAGGCGAGAAAACUUUGCAAUGUGCGAAAGCACGACAAGGUUAAUCCGAGUGGUUUCUGCUAAAGGAACCUUUUGUUAGUCCUAGAAACACUAACGAAUAAGGGGUGGGCAAGUUCUGGUGUCAGCCGCCGCGGUAAAACCAGCACCUCAAGUGGUCAGGAUGAUUAUUGGGCCUAAAGCAUCCGUAGCCGGCUCUGUAAGUUUUCGGUUAAAUCUGUACGCUCAACGUACAGGCUGCCGGGAAUACUGCAGAGCUAGGGAGUGGGAGAGGUAGACGGUACUCGAUAGGAAGGGGUAAAAUCCUUUGAUCUAUUGAUGACCACCUGUGGCGAAGGCGGUCUACCAGAACACGUCCGACGGUGAGGGAUGAAAGCUGGGGGAGCAAACCGGAUUAGAUACCCGGGUAGUCCCAGCUGUAAACGAUGCAGACUCGGUGAUGCGCUGGCUUGUGGCCAGUGCAGUGCCGCAGGGAAGCCGUUAAGUUUGCCGCCUGGGAAGUACGUACGCAAGUAUGAAACUUAAAGGAAUUGGCGGGGGAGCAC